CUUACAUCUACCGGGUGUGGGAACUCACCCAGCGCAUCCGACUGCACAAUGAAAAAAAGUAGUUUUCCUUUACAAUGAGGCUUGGCCCCCAGGGCGAUGGUGCCACAAGCCAGAUCACUGGGACCACUCAGAGAAAGGGAACACAGAAGCCUGGCAUGCCAGCAAAAAGGGUUUUUGUGAGCAGUGUCUUGCACCAAACUCCUGUCUCCUCCUGUGACUUAGAAUGCCUAACUUCCUGGGAAUGCAGCACAGGUCUCAGCCUCAUUUUGCCCAGCCCCUAUUCAAGACGGAUUUGCUGUGGUUCAAAUGCUUCUGACAAUAUUCCUCAUGGUGAAUGCUGGAUUUUGCAUGCCCGAGGCCCUGGGCCACACUGUAUGUUUGCUUUUUGCAAGGGCUGUAUGGCUAUGACUAGUUAUGUGGACCCUGCAUUCCUAUGUAAAUGACCCUCCAUAAAAACCCCAGAAAUGAAUGCUUGAGUGAACUUCCCUGGCUUGUAUUAUAAUACUGUGAACAUCUUGUCACACAUCUUUGCUGGGGGAAUUAAGUGUGUCCCUAUGUGACCGUAAUGGGAGAUAACACCCAGAGUUUUGUGCCUGCUUUCAUGUGGACUUCAUUCUAUGUGAUUUUUCCCUUUGGUGAUCCUGGUCUAUAUCCUUUUAUUGUAAUAAACUAUAACCAUAACAGCUUUUCUGAGUCUUGUGUGUACUUCUAGCAAAUCAUGAAGCCUGAGGUAAGUAACCUAAAAUAUCAAGAUGAUUAAGGCCAUUCAUCCACGUAUCCAUUUAGCAGAUAUCUGAAUAUCUACUACUGACUAGGAACUAUGUGCAUGGAACAAUUAGGAUAAAAUCCAUAUUAACAUCUGUGCUCUUUUGAAGCUGGAAAUCUAGUUGGUGAGACAGUCAGGAG
rnacentral:lncRNA from 1 species